AUCAACUUUCGAUGGUAGGAUAGAGGCCUACCAUGGUGGUAACGGGUAACGGGGUGUUAGGGCACGACACCGGAGAGGGAGCCUGAGAAACGGCUACCACAUCCAAGGAUGGCAGCAGGCGCGCAAAUUACCCAAUCCCGACACGGGGAGGUAGUGACAAUAAAUAACAAUACGGGGUUCUUUAGGAUCUCGUAAUUGGAAUGAGUACAAUUUAAAUCUCUUAACGAGGAACAAUUGGAGGGCAAGUCUGGUGCCAGCAGCCGCGGUAAUUCCAGCUCCAAUAGCGUAUAUUAAAGUUGUUGCAGUUAAAAAGCUCGUAGUUGAAUUUCGGGGUCAGUAGGUCGGUCGUGCCACUGGUAUGAACUGGUUUUACUGAUUCCUCCCUCUUGAAGAACUGUAAUGCCAUUAAUUUGGUGUUGCAGGGAAUCAGGACUGUUACUUUGAAAAAAUUAGAGUGUUUAAAGCAGGCUUUAGCUUGAAUACAUUAGCAUGGAAUAAUGAAAUAGGACGUUUGAUCCUAUUUUGUUGGUUUCUAGGAUUGACGUAAUGAUUAAUAGGGAUAGUUGGGGGCAUUAGUAUUCAAUUGUCAGAGGUGAAAUUCUUGGAUUUAUUGAAGACUAACUACUGCGAAAGCAUUUGCCAAGGAUGUUUUCAUUAAUCAAGAACGAAAGUUAGGGGAUCGAAGACGAUCAGAUACCGUCGUAGUCUUAACCAUAAACUAUGCCGACUAGGGAUCGGAUGAUGUUAAUUUUUUAAUGACUCAUCCGGCGCCUUACGGGAAACCAAAGUGUUUGGGUUC
rnacentral:rRNA from 1 species